UAUAGCUUACUAGCUAGAAUUAUUUCCUUUAUCUGAACAAUGAACGUGACAUCAACUACAGGAGUGCAGACUUAUUACCGGAUUUUCCAAAUUUCUUUGCCGGUGAUACUUAAGGAUGACAAACUCGCCGAAAAAAUCGACCGACGUCAUUCCAAAUUCAGACGAAAGCAGCUCACAUACGACACCUAGCGACAGUUCAAAAUACGAAAUUCAGAGCUUCAGUCGCAGAUGGUUUACACUUGUUAUUUCAUAAAGUACUAUUUUCUAUGGGCUUUUAACCCGGCAUGUUACGGGCCCGUUAACAGUUAAACACUGGAUUUUGUGACGAAAACAUCAGAUUUGUGAAAAAAGUUUUCGUACAUCGAAACAAUAUGAGUCGUCACUGACAGAGGGCGAUUUUGAAAGAAAACACAACAGAAACUUCAACAGACUCUACACGUUCAAGUAUAGAAACGAAAUUGACCGGCGCAGUGGCAAAGUGGUUAGCGCGCCUGCCUGUAACCCAGAGGUAAUAAGGUCAAGGCUCGUCGCUUCUACCAUAUUGUUUGGCGUAUAUGUGUCCUUGCCCAAGACACUUAACUACAAUUAUUCCAAUCCAGCGGUCAUUACGGGUUGUCCAAAUUAUCAGCCAUACACAAAAAAAUCCAAAAACGAAGUACAUGGUAUACUAACUCCUAGGCUGGCACGAGGUGUACGAACACCCGUGUUAUAACAACUGU